rnacentral:rRNA from 1 species
UACGGAGGGGACUAGCGUUGUUCGGAAUUACUGGGCGUAAAGCGCACGUAGGCGGAUUUGUAAGUCAGGGGUGAAAUCCCGGGGCUCAACCCCGGAACUGCCUUUGAUACUGCAAAUCUCGAGUCCGGAAGAGGUGAGUGGAAUUCCUAGUGUAGAGGUGAAAUGCGUAGAUAUCUGGAGGAACACCGGUGGCGAAGGCGGCGUCCUGGACCAACACUGACACUGAGGAGCGAAAGCCAGGGGAGCAAACGGG